CAGUUGCUUGUACACACCACACGGGGGCGCCUACGGAAAGGCGUCCUCCACAGGUGGACCUACCUGGAGUUCAGUAUUCCGGAACUUCCCAGCCUCUGGAUUCAUUCUAUCUUGUUAUCUGACCGGACAAGUAAAAAUAAUAAAAACAAACGACUCCUGGAAACCUAACAGCACCGCUCACCACAGAAUCGAAAAACGAUCUCGGCGCUCUUGCAGUCGGAACUGAGAAUGCGGUAGAAGUUC
rnacentral:lncRNA from 1 species